rnacentral:lncRNA from 1 species
GCAAUUACCACUUGGCUUCUGGCGACAAACAUGCCACGGAUAAAAAUGCUCAUGGUGGGCGGAAGUACAGGAGUCAAUGGGAGACAGAAAAACUCUAUCUCAAGAAUGGGGGUUAAGUAGGGCCAUCUGAAAUGGGAAUUUCCGUGAAGGAUGCAACCUUUGUGAAAAUAGGAUCGAAGGUGGAGGAAGCAACGCUUCCACAGCAGGUCUUGUGGCUGCACCCAGGGACCCACGCGAUUCACCGGAUGUGGAGCUUCCGAUGCAGCUCCUUGGCUAAAGCAAACCCCACACUCAUCCCCGCCCCGGAGGUGAGAGUCCCAUCCUACCGUCCCGCGUACGCCCGGGGAGCAGGCUGGCUGUGGAGUAGCACAAACGUGUGUGGCACUGUGUGCCCUGGGCCCUCGGGCUGCCAGCUCCCCUCGAUGCACAAGUGGCUUCUUCCAAGCAGAAGCUUGACCUCAGCUCCCCAUCACCACGUCCGGCCCCGGCUUCGGUGUGUAGUAGGUCUGCUGAAUACUGGCUGUGCUGGAUGGAUCUUUACUCCACGUACUGCCCGAAGCCUCUCGGGAUUUAUUGGUAAAAAUUUCAUCCUUAAUUAGUGAAAAAAAGAAACUCUUUCUAGGAGUUUAUAAAUUAUUUACCUUACAAACCCUUCUGAGUGCUUCAAGCACAGUGUAAAUAAUUUACAUUCAUACUUGUGUGAUUUCAAGUUUGUUUAGUAAUGUUAUCUUGGAGAUAGAAAACAAAGCUAAGUAAAGCCCACACUAACUUAUUUUGCAAAUCAUUUGCAAUGAGAAAACAAGGUGCUUUUCUUUUUAGGUGAAAAUGUUACUGACCCACGACUAGAGGGGUGUGAAGGCCUAGUUCUUUGCCAAUGGUGAGCAAAUCUUCCUGUUUCCCUAAGCCAUGGAAUUCACUUAUUUGCCAUUUAUUGAGUUCCGACCUUAUUCCAGGCACUGAAUGAAUCCCUAGAGUCUACACUGCUCAGCAUACCCAC